rnacentral:lncRNA from 1 species
AAGCAGUACAAAACAAGCAGACACCCAUGGCCUUUCCAUGUCUAAGAAAAUUUAUAGGCCAGAAGAGAAUGUGAUGAUAUAUUCAAAUUGCUGUAAUAAAAACAAUCUGCCACCCAAGAACACUGUCCAUUGGAUUAUCCAUCAUAAAUGAAAAAGAAUUAUUCUCUCCCAGGCAAGCAAAUGACAAGGGAAUUUAUUACAUUAGACCAGGCCUAUAAGAAAUGCUCAAGGAGCUCCCAAACCUGGACAUGAAAGGAUGACAUUUACCAUCAUGAGAAUACACAAAAGUAUAAAAGCAGUAACAAAAAAGAGGAAAAUAAAGGACUCACAUUUUAUCACGACAGAAAUCCAACUGACCACAAUGACAAUCUUGUUACAGCUUUUUUAAAACACCGAGGUAAACAGAAGGCUUCCUAACUCAUUCUAUGUGCCCAGCAUCACCCUGAUACCAAAACCAGACAGGGAAGUCACAAAAAAGGAAAACUACAGGGCUAUGUAUUUCUUGAACAUGGACACAAAAAUACUCACAAAAUACUAGUGAAUCAAAUCCAACAGGACAACAGAAAGACAAUACACCACAAUCAAGGAGUGUUUAUUUCAGGGAGCCAAGGAUGUUUCAACGUACACAAAUCAAUAAACAUGAUACUUCACAUCAACAGAAUGAAGGAGAAAAGCCAUAUUAUAUUCUCAAUAGAUGUAGAAAAAAGCAUUUGAUAAAAUUCAACAUCACUUCAAGAUAAAAACCCUCAACAAACUAGGCACAGAACUAUCAGAUUUGAUAAUAAUGAAGGCCAUAUUUGAAAAACACAUAGCUAACAUUAUUCUGAAUGGGGAAAAGUUGAAAGCCUUUUCUCUAAGAACUGGAACAAGACAUGGAUGCCCAAUUUCAUCACUCCUACUU